rnacentral:lncRNA from 1 species
AUGGCUAUGAACGUCCGUCUUUCCUGCUUCUACUCUUUCAGAGGAAGAGGGCUGCGGUGGAGCCUCGGAAUGUUCCCUGCUGGCAGCGGGGGAUCUCCUGUGCAGUUUGGGGGCAGGGCCUCUUCUCUCCUUCCCUGCGUCAUCUCACUUCGCUGCCCUCCUGGGACUGCAUGGAGCGGGUGUCAGUGCUGCCUUUACUGGGCACGAAGUCACUUUCACUACCUUGAGGCCAGGUUUUCCAACCCGUACUUCCCCAUCCUCCACUCCCUUCUGACAUCCGUUUCGUCCUCCUUUUCUGAAUUACCCCAGAGGAUAGGGGAGGAGGAAGGUAAACUGUAAUGGUUACUGCCGAGUUUAAAAUGAGGAAACUGAGGCCAGUAUAAGAACAAUCAGAUGCCAAUUUAUUUAUCUCCCAGGUGAGCUUCUUUGGUCCUAAAGAAAGGGGGCCAGAGAAGUCGCUCUUGACUUCUCAGGGCAGGGGGUUUUAUGGGGGUUGGGGGGGGGCUGGCCUAGGAUGCAUGGGAUGGGCUGCCAUUGGGUAAGCCUUGGCGGGAUUUUUUCAAUUUUUGCGGGUUCAGCUGCAUAGUUUAGUGCUGAGGUCCAAACGCAUAGCUUGGUGCUGAGAGUGCCUAGUCUAGUGCUGAAUGUAGACCUGGGGGCAGAAUGCAGAAGUGGGCGAGGGGAGCCGGCAUGGAGGGGCCAGAUGUUGAGUAACAUGUUCUGCCUGAUACACUGUUAUCAGGCAGAGAGGGCGGUGGUGUUGUUAUCUGGCUCUUAGCAAGGCUAUCGGCCUUUCAUAAACCAUCUAGAUUGCUAUGAAUUAAUGUGCAGAAUCUUCAUCCUAGUAGAGUUACUUGUGACAUAUGGCGGUUGGCAGGAGGCUUCUUUACUUCCUCACACAGCAGCCUCUCCAUAGCCUACUUGAAUGUCAUCAUAACUUGUCAUCUGUCUUCCCCUAGGGCGAGUGAUCCAAGAGAGAGAAAGGCAGAAGCCGCACUGUCUUUUCUGACUUCCUCUCUUAAGUUUCACAUGGUCACUUUCUCUUUUUGUAUCUUUGGCUUCUUGUGACUACUAUUGUAAUAUUGAGGUUCAGAGUGCCCUCAGCUCCCUUGAGAGGACGUUUCUCCAGAUCCUU